rnacentral:pre_miRNA from 1 species
AAUAAGUGCAGUUUUGCACUAUUUAUGUUCAACGUUUAACCGUCCGUCUUAUUUGAAAAUUUUUUAUAAUUAGUAUUUUUAUUGCUAUUAGAUGAUAAAACAUAAAUAGUACUUUAUGUGUGACUAAAUGUUUUUAACUUUUUCACAAAUUUUUCAAAUAAGACGGACGGUCAAACGUUGAACGUGAAUAGUGCAAAACUGCACUUAUU